UUUGGUUAGGUUUAUUCCUAGGUAUUCCUUGAUUUAUCUUUCUGCUGCUCGAUUAUUGGUGUAUAGAAAUGCAAGCAAUCAACUUUUCUCAUUUUAUGGAAGUAAGACUCUUACAUCAAUCUAGGGACACCAAUUUGAAGUCUUAAAAAUAUUUGUCUUCAAUAUCUAAAUUGAUUUUGUUUCCCUAUGCUUCAAUCUAUUCAUCUUGGUGCUUAUUUUUUAAGAUGUUGGUUUCUAUUUACAGAAAAUAAAUAAUUUGUUAAGCAGUUUUACUUGUGAAUGCUUAUUUUUCCGAUGGUUGUUUUUACUCCCGCAUCUGGGCCCUUUUUAGUUUUCUGUGUAAAUGGAAAGGCAAAAACCUCAUUAGAUCCAGGCAGCUGAUGUGUGUUCACUCAGCAACACAGGAGUCUGUGUCUUUGGCGAGCUUUUCCCUUGAAUGAAAGGGCGGACUUGGGGGCCUUUCAUGGGGAUUGUUGGGAGAUGUGUACAGACAGACCUCUCUGUAGGCUCAAUAGACGGGGGACAGAGCUCGAGGGGACCCUCCCUUCCCCCGCCAAAGCCGGCAGUGCCUUACCUGAUGGCAGAGCACGUUGGUCUGUUUCCCGAAAGUUGCCUUAAAAGAAAGGCUAUGGCCAGUUCAGGGCCCUCCGCAUAGUACUUGCUUCCCUCUUGGGUUGCAAAGUUCACGCAGACUCGUGGAGGUGGUUCUCCUACAUUUUACAGGAAACACAAUCCUGAGCGUCAACCCUUAGGCAACCCCUCGGGGGUGUAAGAACAACCCAGAAGUGUGGCUGUCUUUUCUCAUAUCCCCGACUCACUCUCCUGGUUCUUCAGCCCGGAGCCCACGUCCUGCUGUGGCCGGUUCUGAGUUGGGAGAUCCCGCCUGGCUCUGGACAGAACCGAAGACUCUUGCACAUUCCGUGUUUGUAUUAGGGGGUUGAGCACAGCGCCUCCAGUACGUGCCUCCUACUCUGUAUCUUACAGAAGCCAGUCAGAAUUUGUCACUUGCUGACAGCCCCCUUCCCUGUACUCCUCUGCCCUGAUAAUGUAUUGGUGUUUUUAUGUCUCUUCCUGCUAUGGCUUUGGAGGCAGAAGAGAGAAAUCUGGAGAUGAAUCCAGCCCAUCUUGUGGUGUUGAAAGCAUCACUUAUUCUUGAAAUUGUCACCGCCGGUGGCUUCAUUCGUUUGAUGGCUGUUUAGUGAGCAUCACUGUGGACCUCCUCUGCUCUAGAUGCUGCAGAUACUGGGCACCUGGGGGGCUCAGUUGGUGAAGCGUCUGACUCUUGAUUCCUUUGGCUUGGGUCAUGAUCUCACGUUUUGUGGGUUCGAGCCCCGCGUCGGGCUCCAUGCUGGCAGUGCGAAGCCUACUUCAACUGCUAACCCGACCUCUCCACCCGUAUGUGUCACAGACGCCUGACACAGAACAUGUCCAAGAUCUACCCCGCUCUCUGUCUCUCUCCUGAGUGGUUAGUUUCGUAUAUGCCACCAGCGUCGACCCAGCUGCUCUUGGAUAUAACCUCGGAGGAUCAGUGUUGUUCGAAGAUGUAUCUGUGGACUUCACCAGGAAGGAGUGGCGGCUGCUGGACCCGGCCCAGAGGCUCCUGUGCAGGGAUGUGAUGCUGGAGAACUAUGGGCACCUGGCGUCCCUGGGCUAUGGGACCCCUUUGCCACUCCUCUGGGAGAAGCCACCUUGUCUAAUUCACAAGGAGUCUUUCCUGGGAAGCCUCACGUGAUCCCUGAUGGCCACACCCUCGGAGGGCAGCAAGUUGACUACUGCUCUCACUACAGCAAGAGAGAGAGAGACAGUGCGUGAGCAGGGGAGGGGCAGAGAGAGAGGAAGACACAGAAUCCAAAGCAGGCUCCAAGCUGUCAGUACAGAGCCAGACGCGAGGCUCGAACCUGAGGUGAAGUCAGACGCUGAACCGACUGAGCCACCCAGGCGCCCCUGGAAGCUGGAAAGUCUUGUAUUUAUGUUUGGCCUUCAGUCGGCUUUUCGGGACAUGCCUCAAGGCUCCAACAGUGACCGUCCCUCCUCAGACUCCUCUCCCGAGGUGUUUAGUCUGGACGUGAGAGUGUCCUUCCGCCCAGAAGGCGCGUUAUGUCAAAUUUCAAAUCCCCCAGAAGAGCAGAAGAACACUACAACGAACAUCUCUGGAUGCACCCCUGGUUACGAUUUUGCCACACUAGCUUGCCAUCUCUCUCUGUCUCUCUUGUUAUACGUGGAUGCACAUUUUUUUUU